rnacentral:rRNA from 1 species
AUGGAGUCACACGCCAUGCCUUACCGGACCAGCGGUGGGUUUAGGUGGCGCGCAUGCGCCGCCGUCUUGGCCAUCUCGGCCGUGGCCGCGCUCCUUGUCGCCCACACGCUCACCGUGGCCAGGGUGUCCAGUGACGGGCAUGUCAGGGCCCGUGUCCUGGCAGAGACGGAGAGUAGCACGGGGGAAGGCGGCGGCGGCAACAAGGACCGGUUCCCGUGGAGCAACGCCAUGCUGCAGUGGCAGCGCACAGGGUUCCAUUUCCAGCCGGAUAAGCACUACAUGAAUGACCCCAACGCUCCGAUGUACUACCGUGGAUGGUACCACUUCUUCUACCAGUACAACCCGGGGGGUGAAACAUGGGGCAACAUCUCAUGGGGCCACGCCGUGUCGCGGGACAUGGUCAAUUGGCGCAGCCUGCCCCUCGCCAUGGUCCCCGAGCACUGGUACGAGAGCAACAGCGUCUUGACGGGCUCCGCCACCUUGCUCCCCAACAGCAAGGUCGUCGUGCUCUAUACGGGCAACACAGACGACCUUGCCCAGGUUCAGUGCCUUGCUGAACCUGCGGACCCUAAUGACCCCCUCCUCCGCACCUGGACGAAGUACCCGGGCAAUCCCGUCCUCUUCCCACCCCCUGGGACCUAUAAAAAAGACUUCCACGACCCUAUGACUGCAUGGUUCGAUAAGUCUGAUAACACGUGGCGCACCAUGAUUGGGUCCAAGGGCGACCAUGGUCAUGCCGGCAUAGCCCUCAUGUACAAGACGAAAGACUUCAUCAACUUCGAGCUCAUUCCGCACCCGGUCCACCGCGUUGAAGGCACUGGCAUGUGGGAGUGCGUCGACUUAUACCCCGUCGGUGACAGCAAGAAUUCAUCAGAGAAGGAGUUGUAUGUCUUGAAGGCGAGCAUGGACGAUGAACGGCACGACUACUACGCGCUGGGGAGGUUCGAUGCGGCGGCCAACAAGUGGACGCCCUUGGACCCGGAAUUGGAUGUGGGGAUCGGCCUGAGGUACAACUGGGGAAAGUUAUUUGCGUCCACAUCCUUCUAUGAUCCUGUGAAGCGGCGGCGCGUGAGCUGGGGGUAUGUCGGUGAGACCGACUCCAACCUUACCGACAUCGCCAAGGGAUGGGCAAACCUCCAGGCGAUUCCAAGGACAGUGGUGCUGGAUGAAAAGACCCAGACGAACCUACUCCAAUGGCCGGUGGAGGAGAUCGACACCCUCCGCUAUAACACAACCAAUUUCGGUAGCAUCAUCGUCAGGACCGGCUCUGUCAUCCCCCUCCGCCUGCACCAAGCUGCUCAACUCGACAUCGAGGCCUUCUUCCGGCUCAAUGCUUCCGCUGUCGCUGCCCUGAACGAGGCCGACGUCAGCUACAACUGCAGUACCAGCGGCGGUGCUGCCAACCGUGGCGUGCUCGGACCCUUUGGCCUCCUAAUCCAUGCCACCAAGAGCCGCAGUGAACAAACGGCGGUGUACUUCUACGUGUCCAGGGGCCUCGAUGGGGGCCUCCGGACCCACUUCUGCCACGACGAGUCGCGGUCAUCUCGGGCCAAGGAGCCGGUGAAGUGGGUAGUCGGAAGCACCGUGCCGGUGCUCCAUGGAGAGGCAUUAUCUGCUAGGGUGCUUGUGGAUCAUUCGAUAGUGGAGAGCUUUGUGAUGGGAGGGAGGUUGACUGCAACGUCGCGGGUGUACCCGACGGAGGCAAUUAACGCGGCAGGUGGGGUAUGUGUUUUCAACAAUGCUACUGGCUCCACAGUUACCGUCGAGAAGCUCGUGGUGCACGAGAUGGCCUCAUCGCCAUUAAAGCCAUAUGUUGAAGGACGAGACUAA